CCUUUCUCUCUUUGCAGGAGUGUUUGAAAACUGGAAUUUUUGCUUCACUUCGUGGUGAUCUCUGUGAAGUUUCUGGCUAAAGUAUUCAAUCACUGACAAUGAAUGGAAUCCCAUUCCUAGGACUCUUCUAGCUUGCUUACACAUUUUCAAGAGACAAACAGAACCAAUGCACUUGGAUCAUCACCUAUUUUUCAGAGUUGGCAGACCAUAUGGAGUUAUACAUCUGUAACCCCAGGACUUUGGGAGACCAAGGACAGAGGAUCCAGAUCACUUGAGGCCAGAAGUUCUAGACCAGCUGGGCAACAAC
rnacentral:lncRNA from 1 species